AAUAACAAGAUCUCUUUUAUUUUUCUAGGUAGCAAACCAUGUGAUUUCUUCUGACUCUAUUUCCUCUUCUGCCAGUAGUUUCCUGAGCUUGAACUCUACUUUUUGCAACAAGCAGAAUGUACACAUGUUAAACAAGGGCACACAAGCAGGUAACUUGGAGAUUGUGAACGGUGCCGAAAAACACACUCGAGCCAACUCCAAGUUCCAGCGAGGCUAAAUUGGAAGAGGACAGUGAUGUGACUUCUUGGUCAGAAGAAAAACAUGAAGAGAAAAUGCUCUUUACUGGUUAUCCUGAGGACAGAAAGUUAAAAAAGAACAAGAAGAAUUCCCAUGAAGGAGUUUCCUGGUUUGUUCCUGUGGAAAAUGUGGAGUCUAGAUAAAAAGAAGGAAAACAUGCUCAAGACUCAUGACCCUGGCAUCUCCCGGUUGGAACCAGUAACCAAGACCAAGCCGUGGAGGGAGCCACUGCGGGAGCGGAACUGGCAGGGGCAGCACCUGGACAGUCGGGGCUCCCUGGCAGGCCCAGGCAGAGAGGAUGGCAGAAACCCACUGAAGCUGUUUGUGAGAGCAACAGUUGCAGUGAUGUUGACUUAACUUUAGCCCUACGUGUAGGGAGAAGAAGGGUAAGGCGCAGAGAAGCUGGCUCUGUGACUUGGCGAGCUGAGGUGUAGGCCUGAGACGCUCUUUUCCAGCACCUCCGCAGUUCACCUGUUUUCACACAUGAGGACUGGGUUUCUCAUCAUCUGUCAAAAGCUGCCUUACUCUUAACCAUAGAUGGUGCAUCACUGUCAGGAUCUGGAGACAAGGGCACAGGAGGGAGGAUUUGUGGCUCUGCUCAUUGGGUUUGUGGGUCCCUGUGUGUGGAGGGCCCAGAGGCCUGAUGCUUGUGCAGCCUCAUGCAUGUUCCUCCAUGUCUGCAGCUCCUGUUUCUGCUCCAUGUCGGAUUUAAAGGAAACCAGGUCUCUUCUGAUAUGUCCCUCUGGGGAUAAAGGAAAAGUUAUUAAUGAUGUAUUUGUUUGAAUAGAUCUUUAAAAUAGCAGCAUGGGCAGAGCUGUAUUGCGUUGAUGUUUCAGAGAGUUGUAAUCGCCAUAGUCUUAGUUCCUGGCCUAUGCUGAAGGCAUGUCUUUGAUCCCUGCGGGUUCCAAGCUGCAGCUCUCCGCCAUAGAGAGGUGUCAGAGGUUUCUUCAACUCUAGAUAUUUUCUCGGCAUUUGAAUCAGGCUUCCCCAGACCUCUUGGGCAGGUGGUGUGUUUCCAGCCAUAUGGAGAAUAGAUUGCAUCAUUAAUCUGAGGCUGGGCAUUUUCUCUCACUCUCUUUUUUUUUUG